AUUAGCAACUAUGAGUCGGAUUUGGUAGAGAUGAAGUUGUAUACCAAACAUGAAUAUUUUCGCAACAUAAGAAGAAAAAGCAAGGGCUUUUCAAAGGGUGCAUCCAUUUAUCGUGGAGUCUCCAGGAACUCGGACUUCAAGAAAUGGCAAGCAAGGAUUGGAAAAGGGAAAGAGAUCAGAGGAAUUUACCUAGGAACAUU